rnacentral:rRNA from 1 species
CCUACGGGAGGCAGCAGUGGGGAAUAUUGCACAAUGGGGGAAACCCUGAUGCAGCGACGCCGCGUGAGUGAGGAAGUAUUUCGGUAUGUAAAGCUCUAUCAGCAGGGAAGAAAAUGACGGUACCUGACUAAGAAGCCCCGGCUAACUACGUGCCAGCAGCCGCGGUAAUACGUAGGGGGCAAGCGUUAUCCGGAUUUACUGGGUGUAAAGGGAGCGUAGACGGUUAAUCAAGUCAGAAGUGAAAACCCAGGGCUCAACCCCAUCCAGCCGUUGAAACUGGGGAUCUAGAGUGUGCGAGAGGUAUGCGGAAUGCGUGGUGUAGCGGUGAAAUGCAUAGAUAUCACGCAGAACCCCGAUUGCGAAGGCAGCAUACCGGUGCACAACUGACGCUCAGGCACGAAAGCGUGGGUAUCGAACAGGAUUAGAUACCCCUGUAGUC